CCUACGGGAGGCUGCAGUGGGGAAUAUUGGACAAUGGGCGAAAGCCUGAUCCAGCCAUGCCGCGUGUGUGAAGAAGGCCUUCGGGUUGUAAAGCACUUUCAGUGGGGAAGAAAGCCUUGGGGCUAAUACCCUCGAGGAAGGACAUCACCCACAGAAGAAGCACCGGCUAACUCCGUGCCAGCAGCCGCGGUAAUACGGAGGGUGCGAGCGUUAAUCGGAAUUACUGGGCGUAAAGCGCGCGUAGGCGGUCUGAUAAGCCGGUUGUGAAAGCCCCGGGCUCAACCUGGGAACGGCAUCCGGAACUGGCAGGCUAGAGUGCAGGAGAGGAAGGUAGAAUUCCCGGUGUAGCGGUGAAAUGCGUAGAGAUCGGGAGGAAUACCAGUGGCGAAGGCGGCCUUCUGGACUGACACUGACGCUGAGGUGCGAAAGCGUGGGUAGCAAACAGGAUUAGAUACCCGUGUAGUC
rnacentral:rRNA from 1 species